AACGAACGCUGGCGGCAGGCUUAACACAUGCAAGUCGAACGCUUGGGAGCGAUCCCUUGAGUGGCAGACGGGUGAGUAACGCGUGGGAACAUACCCUUCGGUACGGAACAACUUGGGGAAACUCGAGCUAAUACCGUAUGCGGCCUAUGGGCGAAAGAUUGUAUCGCCGAAGGAUUGGCCCGCGUCCGAUUAGCUAGUUGGUGGGGUAACGGCCCACCAAGGCGACGAUCGGUAGCUGGUCUGAGAGGAUGGCCAGCCACAUUGGGACUGAGACACGGCCCAAACUCCUACGGGAGGCAGCAGUGGGGAAUAUUGGACAAUGGGCGCAAGCCUGAUCCAGCCAUGCCGCGUGAGUGAUGAAGGCCUUAGGGUUGUAAAGCUCUUUCGCACGCGACGAUAAUGACGGUAGCGUGAGAAGAAGCCCCGGCUAACUUCGUGCCAGCAGCCGCGGUAAU
rnacentral:rRNA from 1 species